AAGUCGUAACAAGGUUUCCGUAGGUGAACCUGCGGAAGGAUCAUUAACACGUUAUCCACGUACCUACCUCUUGCGAACUUUUUACUGUUUAAGAGUCGGCAGACCAGCGUAGAUGAUGGAGGUAGAUGUUACUAUGUCCAGCGUGAGGCCCGCCGCCCGCCCUGGUUCUACCUGCCUAACUGACUUCCCUCCCCCUCAUGUGCUGUGUGUAUUGGGGGUGUGUGGGCGUGGUUGGAUAUUCUGGUUCAAAUGACUCGAAUCAUAGUAGUUUUUUGUAUUAACCCUUUUUACAAAUUUGUUGAAUUGUGAUGGUCUGAAGGUAACACUUCAUACUCACGUUAAUAAAACACUAUACAACUCUUAGCAACGGAUAUCUCGGUUCU
rnacentral:misc_RNA from 1 species